AAUAGGGAUUGAAUUGUUUUAUAAGGUCAUGUCAUUUGAAAAUCAUAUCCUAAACCAAGAUGGGGAAAUUCUCCAGAGCCCAAGGUCACACUGCCCAAGGCUUCUACUUCUUCCUAUUCAAUGCAUGACCAUGUAUAUUUAUAUCUGUAUGUGUGAGAGAGGUUGUAAGUGUAUACACACACAGUGUAACCCUGAGGUAUUUUUUUUUCUUAUUCUUAUUUCGCAGUGGGACUGUGAGAUAUCUCAAGCAUCUUUCAUUCACAAAGCAGAGUUCUAAGAGCAUGAAGAGGCCAGCUUCUGUGGAGUGGUAGCGCUGAACUUCCAUGGCAGUGCCAGUGCCAUUCAGGUACAAACAAGGGUAUGGAAGGGACACAAACGAAGGCUCUGAAAUUUCCUCCAUCCAUCCAUCUAUCCGUUCAACGCCUUCGCAUCGGACGGCCACAUCUACACACACGUGAAAUCGCUCCCUUCCUUGUCGCACGGCAGGAAUUGAAUGCAGCGAGUGACCAGAAAGCCAUGAUCACCGCCCCACACACACACACAUUUCCACACACAACUCUCACACACUCUCUCUCUCUCUCGCACUCUCUCUCUCUCUCUCUAUAUAUAUAUAUAUAUUGUACAUGUAUAUUUACCCAUAAAUAAGUAAUAAAGGGCAAAGGUACCACCCCAAAGUGCAUGGCCGUGAAAGAUUCUCAGACAACCCGAAAAGCGGAAGUCAGUGGCAACAGCAUACAGCCGUUCCCGGGGCCACAUGGCAGGCUUUUCGCAAACCCAGUGAAUGGGCAGGGCAGGGCACGCAGAGCAGGGCAGGUGCGGCGGACCAAAGGUCGCUGGGAAAGCGCGUCAACAACCAUGUCGGAGCUCUUACUGCUGCUGGUGCUGCUGAUGCUCCGAUCUCCCUCCCCUCCUCUCCUCUACCCCCACUGAGCUCAGCGCAGCUCAGCUCAGCCUCAUGCAGGACGGGCGCCGCUCUUGCAGCAUUCGGUAGCAUCCAGAUUCCCACGAGUUGGGUCUGGCACCGGCUUGUGGGAAUGUGCCUGCCAGGCAGCCAGCGAGCGACUGAGCCAGGGAGGGAGGGAUCGACAAGUGAAGCAGCAAACUAAGUUACACAGGCAGGCAGGCAGCACAUCCUGACACACGGCUAGACAUGGUCGAUCCAGCAACAACAACAAAGCAUUUCAAAACUCGGAAACCGAAACACGGUGGGUGACCUUUGUUGUAUUCUCACGCUGUCAAUCGCACUUUGACAUCCUGGUGUGAGCUUUCAUGCCCACAAACAUGCUGGAUUCUUUUCAUUCUAUACCAUUUUAUGUACUCAAAAACUUGUUGUGCUUAAGUAAAUAAAUAAAAGAUCAGAAAAUGUUCUGACAUAUUCACUUUGCUAA